rnacentral:rRNA from 1 species
UACAGAGGGUGCGAGCGUUAAUCGGAAUUACUGGGCGUAAAGCGUGCGUAGACGGUUAUGUAAGUCGGAUGUGAAAGCCCCGGGCUUAACCUGGGAAUUGCAUUCGAGACUGCAUAGCUAGGAUGCGGAAGAGGGAAGUGGAAUUUCCGGUGUAGCGGUGAAAUGCGUAGAUAUCGGAAGGAACAUCAGUGGCGAAAGCGACUUCCUGGUCCAGCAUCGACGUUCAGGCACGAAAGCGUGGGGAGCAAACAGG